GAACGAGAAAGUGGGGCAAUCCAUGAGUAAAGUGGCGUACGGGUGAGUAACACGUGGAUCAUCUGCCCUUUAGUGGGGAAUACCGCUGGGAAACCGGCGACAAUACCGCAUAAGCUCGAGAGAGGAAAGCAGCAAUGCGCUGAAGGAGGAGUCCGCGGCCGAUUAGCUAGUUGGUAGGGUAAUGGCCUACCAAGGCUGUGAUCGGUAGCCGGCCUGAGAGGGCACACGGCCACACUGGCACUGAAACACGGGCCAGACUCCUACGGGAGGCAGCAGUGGGGAAUCUUGCACAAUGGGGGAAACCCUGAUGCAGCGACGCCGCGUGAGCGAUGAAGCCCUUCGGGGUGUAAAGCUCUUUCGGCAGGGAAGAUUAUGACGGCACCUGUAGAAGCAGCUGCGGCUAACUACGUGCCAGCAGCCGCGGUAAUACGUAGGCAGCAAGCGUUGUUCGGAGUUACUGGGCGUAAAGGGUGCGUAGGCGGUUCUAUAAGUAUGGUGUGAAAUCUCCCGGCUUAACUGGGAGGGUGCGCUAUAGACUGUGGGACUAGAGUGUGGGAGAGGAAAGUGGAAUUCCUGGUGUAGCGGUGAAAUGCGUAGAUAUCAGGAGGAACACCGGUGGUGUAAACGGCUUUCUGGACCAUAACUGACGCUGAGGCA
rnacentral:rRNA from 1 species